rnacentral:lncRNA from 1 species
AACUACCACCUCAACUCUAAUACAUACGAUUUUGGUUGCUGUUGAUUAAUUAUUUGAGUUACCAAUUUUACAAAGGAGAUAACUCAAAAUUGUACCUCAAAUAUAACACAUUGUAACUCAAACACAAACUCAAAAAAUAAAAAUAAAACAAAUCAUUGGUAACAUUUUUGAGUUAUAGCCACAAAUCAAACUUAAUCAAUAGUAAUUCAUGUCACCAAUUAAAGCCUUAGUUUAAUCUGUUUUGUCUAAAGUUUAUUUUAUUUUUUAUUUUUAAGUUAAUCCAGUUGGAACAUGUGGCCAUAUCUAUACAAUUAAAAAAAAUCAUUCCCAAAAUCUAUUUGAAAAAUAUUGUUCGAUCUUUUUAUUAACUAAUUACUUUUUGAUCCUACCUAAUAUUUUUCUAAUUAUCUUUAAUUAUACGGUAGAAUUAAUAUUGUUACCGAUUCAUGUACAUUUAAUAGUAUAACACAUUAAACCUUUUAUAAGUAUGUUGAUGAUCGUAGCAAACACUUAUAUCUUCAUGAGAUUCAUAUACAUUUAAUAGUAUAAUAACACAUCAAUAAGUAUCAAUUCAUAUACAUUUAAUAAAAUUACACAUCAAAUAAAUACCAUUUCUAUAUACUAUAGCAAUGACUUUAUUCCCAGCCAAGAUCUAUAACUUCUGGUUUUUCUUCUUCUCCCUACCUCAUUAACAGACAGCAAAUUA